CCCCGGCCUGUCGCGGCCCCACGCGCCAUCUCCGGCUGUUAUGUUCACCUUCCUACUUGCCCUGCGGCCUCUCCUGUAGCUCUGCAGCUGCUGCCCUCCUGCCGCAGAACGGCAGGGACCCCAGGACCCAGUCUGGCCCCUAGUGGCCUUCGCCUGGGAUGGAGAACCCGGGGAGCUGGAAGGAGAUCCUGACUGCUGGGCAGAGCUGCCCUUGGCCCCGGGCAGGGGAAGGUGACACUCUGGAGGAAGGCCCAGUGCCCUGACCUGGACAAGCCAGGGACAGAAGAGGCUGUAGGCCAGCUUUACGGCACCCUGAUGGAAAGGACUGUGCAGCCCACGUGCAGACGGGUGCUGGCAUGGCCCAGCAUGGAGAUCACGGCGGCGGGGCUGAGCGAAUGAGGUGGCCGGGACUCCUGGGCUCUGGCCCGGAGCAGAACUCAGACUCAGAGCGGCGAGUCCUCCCACGGGAGGGGCAGGAACUCGGAGCAUCAGGCGUUCCUCCUGUGCUUGGGGUGAGGACCGCGUGAGUCACCGCACAGAAAGGACUUGCGGGAGGGCCUGCCCGGCGUGUGGCCAUUCACGGUUGUGCGGCAGGAGGAGGAGCCUGAGGACAGCACAGGACAGCGCUCCCAGAGAUCGCGGGAGGCUCCCGAGAAAGAAUAGAGCAGUUAACCGGUGAGGGACGCCAGAGGCGCCUGUGCGAGGGAGCAAGGACAACGCAGGACGGAGCGUCUGGCAAGCCGCCACGUGUGUUUCCAAAAACCAGACCCGACCGCUACACCCGGACAAACCCAGAGCAGCCCCGGAGCCCACGCAGCAGAGGGGUGCGAGGUGGCUGGAGCUGGGGGGGCCAUGCGCAUGUUUCCAGUUUUUAAAUUCGCUUUUUCUUUUGGGAUAUUUGCACAUCCACGUACAGUUGUAAGAAAUUAUACAGAAGGACCCCAUGCCCUCGAACCCGUUUCUCCCAUGGAAACACCUUGCAAGCCAGGAUUCGACAUGGACACAGCCCACCAGUCCUGCCCAGAUUCCUCCUGUGUGUGCAUGUGUGUGUGUGACUCUGUGAUUGUGUCUCAGGGCACGCUCACGCGUCCACCCUGCAGUCCAGUUACAGAACCCUCGUGCGCUCCUCCAACCCACGCCCCUUCCGGAGCCCCCACAUGCACGCGCCACCCCAGAGAGGGCGAGGGUUCCAACACAGGGGUUUGGGGCAGACACAGGUGUUCGGCCCUUGGCACUAGAGUGGAAGGACCCGUUGGUCUACCCGUUCGCUAUGGAAAGACCUCGGAGUUACUGCUGAUGUUUGACCAUUAUGAAUAAAGCUGUCGUCGGCA